rnacentral:lncRNA from 1 species
CUCACAUCCAAGAAUGGAUAAAUAUCUAGUUUUAUGGUAUGUUCAAAUCUGAUUUGAAAUUGGAUGCCAUAAAAGAUAAUGUUUGACAUUAUCUACAACCUUGCCGCCCACAUUCUUUUUAUUCCAUUUUUUUGUGCAACAAAAGAAGAUUGUUGUGCCAUGGGAAAUCAGAUGGGAUUUGGUUUUACUAUGGAAAAUGAAGAGAAGAGGCAUCACAUUAUUUUUGGGCAUGAAUUUUUGAGAGGAGGCAACAUCUUUGGAAGAGUCCAAACAUUGUUGGACUCUUCACCCCCAGUCAUUACAUGCCUAAUAGAAAGGGAAUAGGGAUCUCUUUUGUGCAUGUAAGAUAGAAGAGAGAGGGUCUUCAUGUAAGGAGCCUUGGGCGUGAGUUUAUGGUAUAGAAAAGGGAGAGAAGAGUUCUCUUCUCUUGGGUGAGCGCAAGAUCAAAAAAACCCUAGGGUAUGGAAUAAGGGUUUUGGAAGAGAGAAAAAAUAAGAGAGAAAAUAGUUUCUUCUCUAUCCUUCUUUCACCUCUUCAUCUCCUUUAAAAGUCCAUCUUCAACUUCUAUAAAGAUUUCAAAGAUUUGAGAAAAAGAUUCAGAUCAGCCAAGAAGAGGAUCUUCGCACAAGUUAGCACUCCCGAGAAGAUCGAUCAGAUUGGAGCUUCGAGUAGACUUCCUA